AACCAUCUAGUUUUGGGAGGAAGGAGUGAGGAAAAUGAGCAAGAGCCAAAGAGGUUUUUCAGGUUUUCCACUGAGCAAGGAAUUCCUAAAAACUAUCCUGGAAUUCUGAAGUGCUGGAUUUUACAAAGGAUAACUUGUGGUGCAAGUGAGGAUUAUGACGGAAUUUUAAAAAUGAGAAUGUGUUUAACCACUUGGUUCACACUAGAAGCCUGAAUGAAAAACAACAUUCAAGAAGCAGGGGUAUUAAGGAAAGUGAAGGGAAGGGCAAAAUUCCAAUCAUAACGGUGAAUUACCUUCAGCCUGGUACACAUUCCUUCACCUGACAGAACAAACAAAUGAGGAGAACACACACCUUGCAGCGAGUCUGACUACAUCAAUCAGGGAGAGAAGACGGAGGGGCUAUUCCUGUUGGCUCAACUGAGAAAAUGAGACUGCAACACAGAACGCAAAGAUUUCACAGGUCACAAGUUAACACCUCCAAAAAUGGAUGCACAUAAACUUCUAUCCAAUAAGAAUAUUCAACAAUGACCCCCAUUUGAUCCUUUAAUGUUCAGUGUGACUUGGCUUAGAAAUGGGCCAUUGUAUGGACACAGUGGAGCCAGGGAAACCUGUGGCUUGUAUGACUUCCUGUCAUUGCUGAGCUUAAAUGGAGUAAAAGUGAAAUUAUUGUUCAGUUCUUUAUUGUCCUAGUGGACCUUCUGGGAGCUGACAAAAGGUCCUGGCCAGACACUGCUGGUUACUAUCUGUCAGCGAGUCCAUCUCUUAGCUGAAACCCACAAUACAGUACAAUAUGUCAAAUACAAAUCGAACAUUUUAGAAUUGCCAGUAAGAUUCUGUUGAAUAGUUGCACCUUAUAACUUGGGGGAAAUAUCACAAAUUAAAACACUUAAAAUCCAUA